rnacentral:tRNA from 1 species
AGCGAAAUAGCUCGAUUGGGAGAGCGUUAGACUAUAGCUCGAAAGGCCCCUGGUUAGACCCCGCGAUUCGGUA